UUGAUAAGAUAACUUGUAACGAAAUCGUGUUCGCGUUUAUUAUAAAAGAAGUUUUUUUUUUAAUAUAUUUCAACUAUCAUAGAACAAAAUUGUGCUCGGUACGGGCGUUUCAAGUUAUCGGCGCAUGAUGUCGAAGACUGUAAUAUUUACUCUCACUAUUCUGAUUGGGAUCAGCAGCUCCCUGCAAUACACGUCGAACGGCUGCGUAACUCAACGCAUAGAGGCGACACCAUCACCAUUCACUAGCCAACUGUUUUCGUGCCGAAACCUGCCGUGUGCGGAUUCCGCGAGGGCUCAGAGCACCAGAGCUACCAACAGAGCGAAACUAAACGACUUAGCGCAUGUUUUGAAGCUGUCCGCAAUACAAAACCUCAUGAUCGCAGCCAACGUUUGCAAGAGCACGAAAGAUGGGCUGUGGGCAGACGAUAAUCGAUUACAAUAUCAGGACGCAAUCGUUAGCAGCUUAAAUUGCGAAUACCCGAAAAUCGUCAAAAUUUAUAAGUGAUCCUGAACAAUGUAGCCGAUAGCACGUUUAAUUUGCAAUUAACAUCAUUCAUCAUUAUCCUGCCCUUCUCCCAGUCACCUGGGGUCGGCGCAACAUGCUUUCUCCUUCCAUACCCUUCUAUCAUAUACCAUUUCUUCGCUCACUCCCCUCUUACCCAUAUCGUCUUUCACACAGUCCAUCUAUUUCUUCUUAGGUCUACCUCUUCCUCUAUAUCCUUCCACAUUCAUAGUUAACACUCUCUUACCAACCUCAUUUUCAUUUCGUCUCAUCACAUGUCCAUACCAUCCCAAACGCGCACUUCUCAGCUUCUCUGUCACAGGUGCCACUUUCAGACUUCCUCUAACAUAUUCAUUCCGUAUUCUAUCCAUUCUCGUUACUCCACAAAUCCAUCGCAACAUUCGCAUUUCUGCUGCAUGCAAUCGCUUUUCAUCCGUCACUUUCGUUGUCCAACAAGCUGAUCCAUACCAGACGGCAGGCCUUAUUAAUAUCGUCUUUCACACAGUCCAUCCAUUUCUUCUUAGGUCUACCUCUUCUCUUACCAACCUCAUUUUCAUUUCGUCUCAACACAUGUCCAUACCAUCCCAAAUGCGCACUCCUCAGCUUCUCUGUCACAGCUGCCACUUUCAGACUUCCUCUAACAUAUUCAUUCCGUAUUCUAUCCAUUCUCGUUACUCCACACAUCCAUCGCAACAUUCGCAUCUCUGCUGCAUGCAAUCGCCUUUCAUCCGUCACUUUCGUUGUCCAACAAGCUGAUCCAUACCAGACGGCCUUAUUAAGGUCUUAUAUAUCCUCCCUUUUAGGGGAAGUGGAAUGUGUGAGUCACAUAUGGUGCCCGUGACCUGCCGCCAUUUCAUCCAUCCUGCGUCAAUUCUGUGCCUCACAAUACGAUCCAGUUCACCGUUUUUUUUUUUUUGCAAUUAACAACAAUUGUGUAAUUCAUUUGGAAAUUCAACGCUGGAGAAACAAAGACAACAAUACUUAACAAUAUAGUGCUGUAUUAAUAUUUUGUUUUUAAAGCAUUCAAUUAAGGCGCCGAUAAGGUUUCUUUAAAAUUAAACCUACUUAUAGCAGCAUCAAAAACUCAUCUCAGUAUUAUAUUCGCGAUUUUCGCGGCCCGUUGACAAAAUUAAAUCUGCUUUUACGAAGCGGGAGCAACAUUAUUUUUAACUAGAGGCCCGCUCCGGCCACGCUCGGGUCUUUAAGAAAAAUUUCAACGAUUUUUAACCUUGUUUUAUUUUUUUAAAUAAAAGAACUUUUGAGUUUUGAAAGAA